UUAAGUCCCGCAACGAGCGCAACCCUUGUCUUAAUUGCCAUCAUUCAGUUGGGCACUUUAAAGAGACUGCCGGUGUUAAGCCGGAGGAAGGUGGGGAUGACGUCAAGUCCUCAUGGCCUUUAUGUCCAGGGCUACACACGUGCUACAAUGGGUGGUACAAAGAGCAGCAAACUCGCGAGAGUAAGCGAAUCUCAAAAAGCCAUCCUCAGUUCGGAUUGGAGUCUGCAACUCGACUCCAUGAAGUUGGAAUCGCUAGUAAUCGCGGAUCAGCAUGUCCGCGGUCGAAUACGUUCCCGGGCCUU
rnacentral:rRNA from 1 species